GGCUCUGGCCGAAAGAAACCAGAUGACAUCAGCAAGCAAGACAAGGCCAUUGCUUUGAUCCAGUCUGUAUUGCGAGGCCACAUUUGUCGUUUAGAACAGUUGGCUCUCAUCCCAACGUUAGAUGACAUUUCUCCUGGAGAAGAGGAGGACAGAUUAGAUGUUGCUCUUACUGCAGUACGGAAGGCUGCUAAAGCUGUGUUUGCUGAAAAGAACAGCAAGGUGAUGACUUGACAGACCACACCGAUUACCAGUAUGGUAAAUGGCCUUUUGUUAUUUUUAAUGUAUUAUUACACAGGUUUAGCUGUGUUUGCAUUAUCAUGUUUUCUGUAAACUAUCAAAUAGAAGAAACAGUAUCUUAUAGUUCUGGUUGCAGAUAUAAAACUGUCUAAUAUAUGAAACUUUCUGCAUGUAGGUGAUUAGGAGGUAAAGUCUGUGUUGAAAAUAGCAAUGCUGUUUAAUAAUUAAUUCAACAAAAGUUAAAAGUUGUUCAGAUGGUAAAGUACACCUUUGUACGUUAAUCAGAACUGUGUUUCCAGUAAUACAUUGUGGUUUUAUUUUAAAGCAGUAUUUUGUGUGACUGUGAAUUUUAUAUAUUUUAUGCAACCAUAUAGGUAUGGAUGUUUGUGUUAAAGGUGAUUUAUUUGAUACUGGACAUUACCAACACAGUAUAAUUUCAUUUAGAAUAUUUUGCUAGAUGUUGGUUAGUUUUGUAGCUUUUCCUAACAAAACAACAGGUUGGAUAUGUGGUCAAAGGUUUUUUAUAUCAUAGUUACAGUUCUUCCAACUCAAUAGCAGGUUGGCAUUAUAUAGUGUUUUUAGAUGUAUCCACAUUAGUUGUUUAUGUCCUUUACAUGCAUU